rfam:Buchnera aphidicola str. APS (Acyrthosiphon pisum) genomic DNA, complete sequence.
GCGGGAGUGGCGAAAUUGGUAGACGCACCAGAUUUAGGUUCUGGCGCCGAAAGGUGUGCGAGUUCAAAUCUCGCCUCCCGUA